UACGGAGGGUGCAAGCGUUAUCCGGAUUCACUGGGUUUAAAGGGUGCGUAGGUGGGCUGGUAAGUCAGUGGUGAAAUCUCCAGGCUUAACUUGGAAACUGCCAUUGAUACUAUCAGUCUUGAAUACCGUGGAGGUCAGCGGAAUAUGUCAUGUAGCGGUGAAAUGCUUAGAUAUGACAUAGAACACCAAUUGCGAAGGUAGCUGGCUACACGAAUAUUGACACUGAUGCACGAAAGCGUGGGGAUCAAACAGG
rnacentral:rRNA from 1 species